AUUGAACGCUGGCGGCAGGCCUAACACAUGCAAGUCGAGCGAGCGGCGGACGGGUGAGUAAUGUAUGGGGACUGCCCGUUAGAGGGGGAUAACUACUGGAAACGGUGGCUAAUACCGCAUACUAUCGGAUAACCCAUAUGGGAUUAGCUAGUAGGUGGGGUAAAGGCUCACCUGGGCGACGAUCUCUAGCUGGUCUGAGAGGAUGAUCGGCCACACUGGACCUGGGACAGGCCCCAGACUCCUACGGAGGCAGCAGUGGGGAACAUUGGACAAUGAGCGCAAGCCUGAUGCGGCCAUGCCGCGUGUAUGAAGAAGGCCUUAGGGUUGUAAAGUACUUUCAGCGGGAAGGCGUUACCCGAAGAAGAAGCACCGGCUAACUCCGUGCCAGCCGCCGCGGUAAUAC
rnacentral:rRNA from 1 species